CCUACGGGAGGCAGCAGUGAGGAAUAUUGGUCAAUGGGCGCAAGCCUGAACCAGCCAAGUCGCGUGAGGGAAGACGGCCCUACGGGUUGUAAACCUCUUUUGCCGGGGAGCAAGCCUGAGCACGUGUGCCCAGGCGGAGAGUCCCCGGAGAAAAAGCAUCGGCUAACCCCGUCCCAGCAGCCGCGGUAAUACGGAGGAUGCGAGCGUUAUCCGGAUUUAUUGGGUUUAAAGGGUGCGCAGGCGGGCUGUUAAGCCGGCGGUAAAUUUUAAGGGCUCAACCCUGUCGAGCCGUCGGAACUGGCAGCCUUGAGUGGGCGAGAAGUAUGCGGAAUGCGUGGUGUAGCGGUGAAAUGCAUAGAUAUCACGCAGAACGCCGAUUGCGAAGGCAGCAUACCGGCGCCCGACUGACGCUGAGGCACGAAAGCGUGGGGAUCGAACAGGAUUAGAUACCCCUGUAGUC
rnacentral:rRNA from 1 species